rnacentral:rRNA from 1 species
GAUGAACGCUGGCGGCGUGCUUAACACAUGCAAGUCGAACGAAGCACUUUUAAUUGAUUUCCUCGGAAUGAUAUUAGUUGUGACUGAGUGGCGGACGGGUGAGUAACGCGUGGGUAACCUGCCUCAUACAGGGGGAUAACAGUUAGAAAUGACUGCUAAUACCGCAUAAGCGCACGGCAUCGCAUGAUGCAGUGUGAAAAACUCCGGUGGUAUGAGAUGGACCCGCGUCUGAUUAGCUAGUUGGUGGGGUAACGGCCUACCAAGGCGACGAUCAGUAGCCGGACUGAGAGGAUGAACGGCCACAUUGGGACUGAGAUACGGCCCAGACUCCUACGGGAGGCAGCAGUGGGGAAUAUUGGGCAAUGGGGGGAAACCCUGACCCAGCAACGCCGCGUGAAGGAAGAAGGCCUCGGUU